GUGGCCGCAUAUACUGACAGUGCUGACAGAACAGAAACGGCAUUUAAAGACAGGAAAAGAACUUCAGUGGGCAGUGAUGCCGCUCCUUGGUUGUAGAGGACGCUGAGAGCCGGAUGGACUGUGAGUGAGAUGAUUUGCAGCUUGUGGGUGGAUCCUCAGGCAACUCGCCUACAGGUGGUGAAGCUUAAUCAUUCUCUGGAGUCUUGGAGAGAGACAGCCUGAGCCCAUGGCCAUCCUUAAUACUCUCCUCACCUGUCAGCUUUUGGGUGCUAAGAGCAGCCAAAGAAGCUUGAAGAGACAGGAAGACAUUCCACUCAACCCAGGAGGAAAUUUAUCUGUUCUUCCUGGAGACCUGAGUCAGAAAUCCUAGCACUGGUACCACCCACAAUGAGAACUCAAACUGCUCCUGUGAAUCAUUAAGCCUGUAACAGCACCAUGUGUAGUAACUUAAU